GCAGAACGCGAAGAACCUUACCUAGCCUUGAAAUCCGACGAAUCCGAUGUAAUGGUUGGAGUGCCCGCAAGGGAAUGUCGAGACAGGUGCUGCAUGGCUGUCGUCAGCUCGUGUUGUGAAAUGUUGGGUUAAGUCUCGCAACGAGCGCAACCCCUAUCUUUAGUUGCCAGUAUUAAGUUGGGCACUCUAGAGAGACUGCCUGGGUUAACCAGGAGGAAGGUGGGGAUGACGUCAAGUCCUCAUGGCCCUUAUGGCUAGGGCUACACACGUAAUACAAUGGCGCACACAAAGGGAAGCAAACACGCGAGUGUAAGCUAAUCUCAAAAAGUGCGUCUCAGUCCGGAUUGGAGUCUGCAACUCGACUCCAUGAAGUUGGAAUCGCUAGUAAUCGCGGAUCAGCACGCCGAGGUGAAUACGUUCCCGGGUC
rnacentral:rRNA from 1 species